CUUGUGAACCAGUGGCAGGCCGAUCUUUUCUCUCCGUUUGAUCUGAAAUUCAGGCAGGAUACAAGGAGUGAAAAGGCUGCAAAGUGGUGAGACCACUGCAGUACUUUGCUGAUGCCGCAGAUCGCACAGCUCCUCUCAGUGGGAUGGAAAUGCAUCACUAGGAUUUAAUAACUUUCCUUAAGAGAUGAAAAUGAAAUGGAGUGGCAGACCAGCCUUCCCUGAUGACAUCGAAUCAUACCUGUGUCGACACUCCACUGGACAAUUGUGCAAAAUGCAGAGGCAGGGGAGGGACCUGGACCUGGGAGCUGUUCUUUGCUAU